UCGUGGAGUGAUUUGUCUGCUUAAUUGCGUUUAUCACUCAGAGUUUUUCGUUUUGGAUUUAUUUUGUCUUACUUCGCUCUUUUCGAAGAGUUUGAGGUUUGAUUGAAAUAAAAUUCAAGAGAGCUCUGCUUUGCAACGAACGUGACCGCAACCCCUUGUUGCCUUUCUUACUUCAACCUUGUAUAUUUAUGUGGUUCUAAUUUAUUAGGAUUUAUAUAAAUAUAUUUAUGGUUAGUAAAGGGAAACUAGG
rnacentral:rRNA from 1 species